rnacentral:rRNA from 1 species
UACGUAGGCAGCGAGCGUUGUUCGGAGUUACUGGGCGUAAAGAGUGCGUAGGCGGUGUUCCAAGUCUGUUGUGAAAUCUCCCGGCUCAACUGGGAGGGUGCGGCGGAAACUGGGACGCUGGAGUACGGGAGAGGUAAGCGGAAUUCCUGGUGUAGCGGUGAAAUGCGUAGAUAUCAGGAGGAACACCUGUGGUGUAGACAGCUUACUGGACCACUUCUGACGCUGAGACACGAAAGCGUGGGUAGCAAACAGG